UACGAAGGGUGCAAGCGUUACUCGGAAUUACUGGGCGUAAAGCGCGUGUAGGCGGCCCACUAAGUCUGAUGUGAAAGCCCGGGGCUCACCCCCGGAAGUGCAUUGGAAACUGGUGGACUCGAGUCCCGGAGAGGAGAGUGGAAUUCCUGGUGUAGCGGUGAAAUGCGUAGAUAUGUCACAGAACACCGAUCGCGAAGGCAGCUAACGAAGCUAGUACUGACACUGAUGCACGAAAGCGUGGGGAGCAAACAGG
rnacentral:rRNA from 1 species